rnacentral:rRNA from 1 species
UACGGGGGGGGCAAGCGUUGUCCGGAAUUAUUGGGCGUAAAGAGCUCGUAGGCGGUCUGUCGCGUCGGCUGUGAAAUCCCGAGGCUCAACCUCGGGUCUGCAGUCGAUACGGGCAAACUAGAGUAUUGCAGGGGAGACUGGAAUUCCUGGUGUAGCGGUGAAAUGCGCAGAUAUCAGGAGGAACACCGGUGGCGAAGGCGGGUCUCUGGGCAAUAACUGACGCUGAGGAGCGAAAGCGUGGGGAGCAAACAGG